GCGAGUGAAGCGGCAACAGCUCAAAUUUGAAAUCUGGCCCUCGGGCCCGAGUUGUAAUUUGUAGAGGAUGCUUUUGGUGCGGUGCCUUCCGAGUUCCCUGGAACGGGACGCCUUAGAGGGUGAGAGCCCCGUACGGUUGGACACCUAGCCUCUGUAAAGCUCCUUCGACGAGUCGAGUAGUUUGGGAAUGCUGCUCAAAAUGGGAGGUAAAUUUCUUCUAAAGCUAAAUACCGGCCAGAGACCGAUAGCGCACAAGUAGAGUGAUCGAAAGAUGAAAAGCACUUUGAAAAGAGGGUUAAAUAGCACGUGAAAUUGUUGAAAGGGAAGCGUUUAUGACCAGACUUUCUCUAGGCGGAUCAUCCGGUGUUCUCACCGGUGCACUUCGCCUAGUUUAGGCCAGCAUCGGUUUCCUUGGGGGGAUAAAAACGGUGGUAAUGUGGCUCCCUCGGGAGUGUUAUAGACCGCUGUAUAAUACCCUCAGGGGGACCGAGGUUCGCGCUCUGCAAGGAUGCUGGCGUAAUGGUCAUCAACGACCCGUCUUGAAACACGGACCAAGGAGUCGAACAUUUAUGCGAGUGUUUGGGUGUUAAACCCCUACGCGUAAUGAAAGUGAACGGAGGUGAGAGCCUUUUAGGUGCAUCAUCGACCGAUCCUGAAGUUUUCGGAUGGAUUUGAGUAUGAGCAUAACUGUUCGGACCCGAAAGAUGGUGAACUAUGCGUGGAUAGGGUGAAGCCAGAGGAAACUCUGGUGGAGGCUCGCAGCGGUUCUGACGUGCAAAUCGAUCGUCAA
rnacentral:rRNA from 1 species